UACGUAGGGUGCGAGCGUUGUCCGGAAUUACUGGGCGUAAAGAGCUCGUAGGGGGUUUGUCGCGUUGUUCGUGAAAACUCACAGCUCAACUGUGGGCGUGCGGGCGAUACGGGCAGACUGGAGUACUGCAGGGGAGACUGGAAUUCCUGGUGUAGCGGUGGAAUGCGCAGAUAUCAGGAGGAACACCGGUGGCGAAGGCGGGUCUCUGGGCAGUAACUGACGCUGAGGAGCGAAAGCGUGGGGAGCGAACAGG
rnacentral:rRNA from 1 species